GACCUUGUAGCUCCACGGUAGAGCAUCGUUCUAGAAAUGCAAAGGUCGCGGGUUCGAAUCCCAGCCGCGGUCA
rnacentral:tRNA from 1 species